rnacentral:rRNA from 1 species
GACACGGUCCAGACUCCUACGGGAGGCAGCAGUGAGGAAUAUUGGUCAAUGGACGGAAGUCUGAACCAGCCAAGUAGCGUGCAGGAUGACGGCCCUCCGGGUUGUAAACUGCUUUUAGUUGGGAAUAAAAAAAGGGACGUGUCCCUUAUUGUAUGUACCUUCAGAAAAAGGACCGGCUAAUUCCGUGCCAGCAGCCGCGGUAAUACGGAAGGUCCAGGCGUUAUCCGGAUUUAUUGGGUUUAAAGGGAGCGUAGGCGGAUUAUUAAGUCAGUGGUGAAAGACGGUGGCUCAACCAUCGUUAGCCAUUGAAACUGGUAGUCUUGAGUGCAGACAGGGAUGCUGGAACUCGUGGUGUAGCGGUGAAAUGCUUAGAUAUCACGAUGAACUCCGAUCGCGAAGGCAGGUGUCCGGGCUGCAACUGACGCUGAGGCUCGAAAGUGUGGGUAUCAAACAGGAUUAGAUACCCUGGUAGUCCACACAGUAAACGAUGUAUACUCGCGGUUUGCGAUAUAGUGUAAGCCGCCAAGCGAAAGCAUUAAGUAUACCACCUGGGGAGUACGCCGGCAACGGUGAAACUCAAAGGAAUUGACGGGGGCCCGCACAAGCGGAGGAACAUGUGGUUUAAUUCGAUGAUACGCGAGGAACCUUACCCGGGCUUGAACUAGGAGUGACAGAUUUAGAGAUAGAUCUUUCUUCGGACACUCUUGGAGGUGCUGCAUGGUUGUCGUCAGCUCGUGCCGUGAGGUGUCGGCUUAAGUGCCAUAACGAGCGCAACCCCUGUCUACGGUUGCCAUCAGGUAAUGCUGGGAACUCCGUAGAGACUGCCGUCGUAAGGCGUGAGGAAGGUGGGGAUGACGUCAAAUCAGCACGGCCCUUACAUCCGGGGCGACACACGUGUUACAAUGGUGGGGACAAAGGGCAGCUACCUGGCGACAGGAUGCGAAUCUCCAAACCCCAUCACAGUUCGGAUCGGAGUCUGCAACUCGACUCCGUGAAGCUGGAUUCGCUAGUAAUCGCGCAUCAGCCAUGGCGCGGUGAAUACGUUCCCGGGCCUUGUACACACCGCCCGUCAAGCCAUGGGAGUCUGGAGUACCUAAAGUCCGUACCUGCGAGGGUCGGCCUAGGGUAAUACAGGUGACUGGGGCUAAGUCGUAACAAGGUAGCCGUACCGGAAGGUGCGGCUG